rnacentral:rRNA from 1 species
AGUGAAGCGGGAAAAGCUCAAAUUUAAAAUCUGGUGGCCUUUGGCCAUCCGAGUUGUAAUUUAGAGAAGUGUCUUCCGCGCUGGACCGUGCACAAGUCUCCUGGAACGGAGCGUCAUAGAGGGUGAGAAUCCCGUCUUUGGCACGGACAUGCCAGGGCUUUUGUGAUGCACUCUCGAAGAGUCGAGUUGUUUGGGAAUGCAGCUCAAAAUGGGUGGUGAACUCCAUCUAAAGCUAAAUAUUGGCGAGAGACCGAUAGCGAACAAGUACCGUGAGGGAAAGAUGAAAAGCACUUUGGAAAGAGAGUGAAACAGUACGUGAAAUUGUUGAAAGGGAAACGCUUGAAGUCAGUCGCGUCGACCGAGACUCAGCCUUGCCUUGGCUUGGUGUACUUCUCGGCUGACGGGUCAGCAUCAAUUUUGCCCCUUGGAUAAUGGCGAGGGAAAUGUGACACCUUUACGGUGUGUUAUAGUCUCUUGUCGCAUGCAAGGGUUGGGAUUGAGGAACUCAGCACGCGCCUUUGGGUGUCGGGGUUUUUGCCCACGAUACGUGCUUAGGAUGUUGGCGUAAUGGCUUUAAACGACCCGUCUUGAAACACGGACCAAGGAGUCUAACAUGCCUGCGAGUGUUCGGGUGGAAAACCCGUGCGCGCAAUGAAAGUGAAAGUUGGGACCUCUGUCGUGGAGGGCACCGACGCCYGGACCAGACCUUUUGUGACGGCUCUGCGGUAAAGCAUGUAUGUUAGGACCCGAAAGAUGGUGAACUAUGCCUGAAUAGGGUGAAGCCAGAGGAAACUCUGGUGGAGGCUCGUAGCGAUUCUGACGUGCAAAUCGAUCGUCAAAUUUGGGUAUAGGGGCGAAAGACUAAUCGACCAUCUAGUA